ACGCUGGCGGCGUGCCUAAUACAUGCAAGUCGAGCGAAUGGGUUGGAGCUUGCUCUUCCGGAUGGUUAGGGGGACGGGGGAGUAACACGUGGGUAACCCGCCCCCUCAACUGGGAUAACUCCGGGAAACCGGGGCUAAAACCCGAUAAAAUUUUUUACUGCAUGGUUCGAAAUUGAGAGGCGGCUUCCGCUGUGACUUUUGGAUGGACCCCCGCCGCAUUAUCUAUUUGGGGAGGGAACGGGUCCCCACGGGGACGAUGCGUAUCCCACCUGAGAGGGGGAUCGGCCCCACUGGGACUGAGACACGCCCCCCACACCCACGGGAGGGGCCACAAGGGAAUCUUCCCCAAUGGGCGAAAAUCUGAGGGAGAACCGCCCCGUGAGUGAGGAAAGCUUUCUGGGAUCAAAACUCUGUUGUGAGGAAAAAAAACGUGUUAUUUAAAAAAUGUGGCACCUUGGCGGUACCUAACCAAAAAGCCCCGGCUAACUACCUGCCCACAGCCCCGGUAAUACCUAAGGGGGAAGCGUUUUCCGGAAUUAUUGGGGGUAAAGCGCGCGCAGGGGGUUUCUUAAGUCUGAGGGGAAAGCCCCCGGGUCAACCUUGGAGGGUCAUUGGAAACUGGGAGACUUGAGUGCAGAAGAGGAAAGUGGAAUUCCAUGUGUAGCGGUGAAAUGCGUACACAUAUGGAGGAACACCAGUGGCGAAGGCGACUUUCUGGUCUGUAACUGACACUGAGGCGCGAAAGCGUGGGGAGCAAACAGGAUUAGAUACCCUGGUAGUCC
rnacentral:rRNA from 1 species